rnacentral:rRNA from 1 species
CCUACGGUGGGCUGCAGUGGGGAAUAUUGGACAAUGGGCGAAAGCCUGAUCCAGCCAUGCCGCGUGUGUGAAGAAGGCCUUCGGGUUGUAAAGCACUUUCAGUGGGGAAGAAAGCCUUGGGGCUAAUACCCUCGAGGAAGGACAUCACCCACAGAAGAAGCACCGGCUAACUCCGUGCCAGCAGCCGCGGUAAUACGGAGGGUGCGAGCGUUAAUCGGAAUUACUGGGCGUAAAGCGCGCGUAGGCGGUCUGAUAAGCCGGUUGUGAAAGCCCCGGGCUCAACCUGGGAACGGCAUCCGGAACUGUCAGGCUAGAGUGCAGGAGAGGAAGGUAGAAUUCCCGGUGUAGCGGUGAAAUGCGUAGAGAUCGGGAGGAAUACCAGUGGCGAAGGCGGCCUUCUGGACUGACACUGACGCUGAGGUGCGAAAGCGUGGGUAGCAAACAGGAUUAGAUACCCGGGUAGUC